UCAUUAUAUGACCCCUUGAUAUGACCUGCAGCGAAUGAAGGACAGAUUUAUGUUUACAAUCUCGUUCUGUCAAGCGGCAUUGACAUUCAAGGUUAUGUUUCCGUCUCCGGCAAUCAAUUCUUCUCAAUCCUUCUGGUCAUGGAAGAAGGAUUACAUUUCACCACACUUCUGGUUAAUGGCUUAAGGAGACAAGAGAAAAAGCAUUCGAUACUUUAGAAAUAGCCAAUAUUCGAUUGGCACUGAUUCAUGGAUAGGAUUUUAGAGGAUUUUUUUUUUACAAGUAAGUUUUGUGACUGAGAUGUUAGAUCGUAAAUUUUAUUAGCAUAUAAAUCCAGGGGUGUGUAUACAUUUUAAUUGAAAUUUAGAAAAAGAGUACAACUAGGGUAAAUUUUCAUACAAAUAUUUGAGUCUGUAUUAGGCAAUUUGGAGAAUUUACAUUUUCAAUCGCACCAAUCAAUAUCAUUAAUAUGUAUGAACUACAUUAUUUUAUGUACACAUAAGUUGGCUACAGAUUUUGAAUUUUGUAAUCCAUUGAGAAGCCAUAUUAGGCAUAGAUAAACGGUCACUGUAUUCUCUGAAUACUUCGUGUAUCCAAGGAACAAUACAACAAUCGUAACAAUGUGAUAAUUACUUACAAUUUCGUAAGAUUAAUAUGACUUUUAUAUAAAUAUUAACAUUUUCAUCGUAGAUUUAAUAAAUUACAAACUGUUCAACAACGACAAAAUUCGAAUCCAAAACAGCAUUAUUUACAUUUAAUCUAACAGAAUUAAUAGUUUGUGAAAAAAUAAAAAAUCCUCAAUCUCGCAUUGACCUACAAUAAAUAUAGGAGAAAAAAAAACAAGAAUGAUUUAACUAAACAGUUGUACAUCCAUGCAUGGAUAGAUUAAUUUUUUGCAGUAUAAGUAAUGUUCAACAUAUCAUUUGUUUCUUACUUUAUUCAUGUCUAGCAUGUAGAAAUCUGAAUUGCUUGUUAAACUCGUAAUGUUUUCUAACCGCACAGUGGUAUUUAAUUUGUUACUACAUACCUAUUGUAAAUUUACCACUUAUCUAAUUCACUGCAGUUGCAAAAUUCACGGGGAAAUGGAGACGUGCAUCAAUUAUCAAGCAGUGAACCAAAUGAAUCGCAAAGCACCGAUCAUGUAGGCAUGUUGCAUAUGAU